rnacentral:rRNA from 1 species
GACGAACGCUGGCGGCAUGCCUAACGCAUGCAAGUCGAGCGAGUAGAUCCCUUCGGGGUGAAGCUAGCGGCGGACGGGUGAGUAACACGUGGGCAACCUGCCUCAUAGAGGGGAAUAGCCUUCCGAAAGGAAGAUUAAUACCGCAUAAGAUUGUAGUACCGCAUGGUAUAGCAAUUAAAGGAGUAAUCCGCUAUGAGAUGGGCCCGCGGCGCAUUAGCUAGUUGGUGAGGUAACGGCUCACCAAGGCGACGAUGCGUAGCCGACCUGAGAGGGGGAUCGGCCACAUUGGGACUGAGACACGGCCCAGACUCCUACGGGAGGCAGCAGUGGGGAAUAUUGCACAAUGGGGGAAACCCUGAUGCAGCAAUGCCGCGUGAGUGAUGACGGCCUUCGGGUUGUAAAGCUCUGUCUUCGGGGACGAUAAUGACGGUACCCGAGGAGGAAGCCACGGCUAACUACGUGCCAGCCGCCGCAGUAA